rnacentral:rRNA from 1 species
GAUUAAGUAGAAAAGAGCGCACGGAGGAUGCCUUGGCACUAGGAGCCGAAGAAGGACGUGACAAACGACGAAACGCUACGGGGAGAAGUAAGUAAUCAAUGAUCCGUAGAUAUCCGAAUGGGGGAACCCACCACAAGUAAAGAUGUGGUACUCGAAAGAGGGGUAACGCAGAGAACUGAAACAUCUAAGUACCUGCAGGAAGAGAAAGAAAAAUCGAUUUCCUUAGUAGCGGCGAGCGAAAAGGAAGGAGCCCAAACCGUAAGGCUUGCUUUACGGGGUUGUAGGACUAUCAAUAAAUCGUAUCAUAAUUCAUAGUAGAAUCGCAUGGGAAGGCGAACCAAAGAAGGUAAGAG